rnacentral:rRNA from 1 species
GGGUGAGUAACACGUGGAUAACCUACCUAUAAGACUGGGACAACUUCGGGAAACCGGAGCUAAUACCGGAUAAUAUUUUGAACCGCAUGGUUCAAAAGUGAAAGACGGUCUUGCUGUCACUUAUAGAUGGAUCCGCGCUGCAUUAGCUAGUUGGUAAGGUAACGGCUUACCAAGGCAACGAUGCAUAGCCGACCUGAGAGGGUGAUCGGCCACACUGGAACUGAGACACGGUCCAG